rnacentral:rRNA from 1 species
UUAUGCGAUACUUGGUGUGAAUUGCAGAAUUCAGUGAAUCAUCGAAUCGUUUGAACGCACCUAUGCGCCCUCUUGGUAUUCCGAGGGGCAUGCCUGUUUGAGUGUCAUUAAAUACCAUCAACCCUCUUUUGACUUCGGUCUCGAGAGUGGCUUGGAAGUGGAGGUCUGCUGGAGCCUAACGGAGCCAGCUCCUCUUAAAUGUAUUAGCGGAUUUCCCUUGCGGGAUCGCGUCUCCGAUGUGAUAAUUUCUACGUCGUUGACCAUCUCGGGGCUGACCUAGUCAGUUUCAAUAGGAGUCUGCUUCCAACCGUCUCUUGACCGAGACUAGCGACUUGUGCGCUAACUUUUGACUUGACCUCAAAUCAGGUAGGACUACCCGCUGAACUUAAGCAUAUCAAUAGGCGGAGGAA